CUGCUGAUCGAAACAAGAAGUUGCACUUCAUUAAAGCUGUGCUCGGCUUAAUGCGGCAUGCUUGCUUUUUAAUUAAUAAGUACUUAAUUACAUAGUUAAUAUUUUAAUAUUUCCUUUAAAAAAUGUCUGAUUUAAUGGAGUUACUGCCAGCUAUUUGUUUUGUAUGACUUUUAUGUUUAUCUUCCUCUUUCAUUUCUCAUUUCCCCCUCCACCCAGCACUUCAGUCCCCAAAGCUCUUGGUUGAUCUUUGCAGCUGGAAAUUAGCACUCGGGCUUUCAGCAGAAAUUGAAUCUGGCCCCUGGCGCUGACGUCCAUCAGCCAGAGGUGCUAAUGGGAGUUAUUAGCACUCGGGUUCUGCACCACCAAUACAUCGGCCCCGAGGGAGGAGAGGGACCGUGUGAGGAUGGAGCAUCCGGAGAGGAGUGGGGCUGGGGCUGCCUCCAAGGUCACCCCUUCCUUGGGAGGAUGGAGCAGGGCGGUGAGGAUGGAGGGGAUGGAUGUGACCUCCCGCAGCACUGACAGCUCCACAGUGCCCCUCCUGAGCUCUUGGCUCCUUGCGUGCAUGUGGAUAGAUGUACUGAGGACACCAAAUGAAAGCUGCUAUGGCUUCCUAUGCUUCCUCCUUCCCUAGCUGCUCGCUGGCCUGCAGAGCAUCCCACAGAGCAUCCUUCAGCAUCCUACACAGUAUCCUACAGAGCAUCCCCCAGAACCCCGCACCAUCCUGCAGAGCAUCCCGCAGCAUCCUACAGGGCAUCAUAGAGCAUCCCACAGAGCAUCCCACACCACCAGGGCUGUAUUCCAGCCAUGGCAGCCUUCUCCUUGCUGUGGGAUCCUGGCCUCAGCCUCUCUGCAGGGGCACAUGGUGGGGAGAGCGGUGCUUUCGCAGUAAUCUCCAUGAGCAGCCUGUUAGGAUAAUAAAGCAAAUAAACGGAAGAGUUAUAGCCGAGGCACUUGGGGCACUGUAAAACAGGCUGAAAGCAAAUACAGCAUCGUUAAUCCAUCAUAAAAUAACAGCCUCUUACGAUCCCAAAUGCAUCAAAAUGAAUGGGAGUGCGGCGAGGUCACUGUUUAAACGGGGAAGUGCUGAAUGCGAAGCAGGGCUGGGAGAGAUGAUGGGGUGGGAACCAACCCACAGCCACGAGGAUCAGGAGAAGGACCUGGGAACACCAGGCUGGGGGGGCCAUGGGGAUGUCCCUGCCUGUGUGUGGAGGCUCUAAAACCAGUAAGACCAGUGCAAGCCAGUGGGUGAGAUGCGAUGUGUGCACUGCUGUCACCAUGGAGAUGGAGGUGUCAGUGGGGUCCCAGCAUUGGGGGUCAAAUCACCAUAGGUGAAGGGGCAGAGAGUGGGGUGAAGAGGGACAAAGUAGUGAAGCACCCGAGUGUUGGGAUCCUUUGGGUGGGUUUGCCAGGCUCUGCAUAGAGAUCCCCAAAGCAACACAUGGGUGUGAGGUGUCUGAGUACAGUGCCAUGGUGUGCCCAGCACCGGGAGGGCUGGGGAAUGGGGACAAAAUGGGGUCCUGGGGUCAGAGUGCAUCUCAGGGUGCACAUAAGGAAACCUGGCCCCAGGGCAAACCCUGGGCUGCAGGGACAGCGAAGGCACAGAGGGGACGGGGACAGACAGACGGACGUCUGUCACAUCAGAGUUCAGUGUGUCACAAACCCCACGUGCGUUCCUCACCCACUCCUGCCAGCACUGACCCCAUUCCAGAUGAUGCUGGGAUGCUCCAUUGGGACCAGGCGGGCGCACGGCCCCCUCUGUGAGCAGAGCACCCCCGGGGUCCCAUCUCUACUUCAUUAGCAGCCUCCUCAUUAAGCCUUCC
ensembl:lncRNA